rnacentral:rRNA from 1 species
GACGUAGGGCGCGAGCGUUGUCCGGAUUUAUUGGGCGUAAAGAGCUCGUAGGCGGCUUGUCGCGUCGACCGUGAAAACUUGGGGCUCAACCCCAAGCCUGCGGUCGAUACGGGCAGGCUAGAGUUCGGUAGGGGAGACUGGAAUUCCUGGUGUAGCGGUGAAAUGCGCAGAUAUUAGGAAGAACACCGGUGGCGAAGGCGGCUCUCUGGAACGGUGCUGACGCUGAGACGCGAAAGCGUGGGGAGCGAACAGG